AUGGGGGAACCCUGACGCAGCACGCCGCGUGGAGGAUGAAAUCCCUUGGGAUGUAAACUCCUUUCGAUCGGGACGAUUAUGACGGUACCGGAAGAAGAAGCCCCGGCUAACUUCGUGCCAGCAGCCGCGGUAAUACGAGGGGGGCGAGCGUUGUUCGGAAUUAUUGGGCGUAAAGGGUGCGUAGGCGGUUUGAUAAGUCUGAUGUGAAAUCUAUGGGCUCAACCCAUAGCCUGCAUUAGAAAC
rnacentral:rRNA from 1 species